AGUGAACGCUGGCGGCGUGCUUAACACAUGCAAGUCGAACGAUGAAGCUCUAGCUUGCUAGAGUGGAUUAGUGGCGCACGGGUGAGUAAUGUAUAGCUAAUGUGCCCCUUAGAGGGGGAUAACAGUUGGAAACGACUGCUAAUACCCCAUACUCCUUCUUCCUAUAAGGGAAGUUGGGAAAGUUUUUUCGCUAAGGGAUCGGGCUAUAUGGUAUCAGCUUGUUGGUGAGGUAAUGGCUCACCAAGGCUAUGACGCCUAUCUGGUCUGAGAGGAUGAUCAGACACACUGGAACUGAGACACGGUCCAGACUCCUACGGGAGGCAGCAGUGGGGAAUAUUACACAAUGGAGGAAACUCUGAUGUAGCAACGCCGCGUGGAGGAUGACACAUUUCGGUGCGUAAACUCCUUUUAUAUGGGAAGAUAAUGACGGUACCAUAUGAAUAAGCACCGGCUAACUCCGUGCCAGCAGCCGCGGUAAUACGGAGGGUGCAAGCGUUACUCGGAAUCACUGGGCGUAAAGCGCGCGCAGGCGGUCUUUUAAGUUGGAUGUGAAAUCCUAGGGCUCAACCAUAGAACUGCAUCC
rnacentral:rRNA from 1 species